rnacentral:lncRNA from 1 species
UAAAAAACCCUAGGUAGAUAGGAUGUUUCAUACUUACAUUCACGAACUGGAAGUCGAUCUGGAACCGCUAUCUCAUCCUUUCUUCUUCAAUUCAAUUCUUUCAUCUUUUCGUCUAUUAUUUCUUAGAGUUCAAUUCAAAUGCUAGUUGUUUCUUCUCUUCAAUUUUCAUAUCAUUGUUUUUGAAAUUGAAUUGAAUAUUUCUCUGUGUUUUCAGCCUCAGAUCUUAUAAGCAUGUUAACAAUAAUAAUUUUGUUUAUUUUCCACAAAUAGUUUGGAUUGGGAUAUAAUAUGAUUCAUAUCGCACUACCAGAAGAAAAGCUUUAGCCGACGAAAAUAAAAAAACAGGCCGACGAAAUUUUUUUUCGUCGGCUAAUAUAAAUUUUCAUUGGCUAUAAGUCAACUUUAGCCGACGAAAUUAAAUUUUCGUCGGAUAAAGAAUUUUUUUCAUCGGCUAUAGUCUGUGGACUUUAGCCGACGACAUUAAACAUUCUUUAGCCGACGAAAUUUAAUUUCGUCGGCUAAAGUUCUUUAUAUUUGCAGAUCUGGACAGCAGCUCAUCUGGGAAAAAAAACGGGAGAAAAAGUUUGGGUGUUGUCGAAAUCUGUCCAUAAUUAGUUUAUGGAGCUAUAUAUAGGUACGUACGUAUGUACAUAUGUAUAUAUAUGUUGAUUUUGAGUUUUAUUUGAGUUUAUCGAUUUUGAGUGUGAUUG